rnacentral:rRNA from 1 species
UACGAAGGGGGCUAGCGUUGCUCGGAAUUACUGGGCGUAAAGGGAGCGUAGGCGGAUAGUUAAGUCAGAGGUGAAAGCCCCAGGGCUCAACCUUGGAAUUGCCUUUGAUACUGGCUAUCUUGAGUAUGGGAGAGGUAAGCGGAACUCCGAGUGUAGAGGUGAAAUUCGUAGAUAUUCGGAAGAACACCAGUGGCGAAGGCGGCUUACUGGCCCAUUACUGACGCUGAGGCUCGAAAGCGUGGGGAAGCAAACAGGGAUUAGAAACCCAGGGUAGGUACCU